UACGGAGGGUGCAAGCGUUAUCCGGAUUCACUGGGCUUAAAGGGAGCGUAGGUGGGCUGGUAAGUCAGUGGUGAAAUCUCCGAGCUUAACUUGGAAACUGCCAUUGAUACUAUUAGUCUUGAAUAUUGUGGAGGUCAGCGGAAUAUGUCAUGUAGCGGUGAAAUGCUUAGAGAUGACAUAGAACACCAAUUGCGAAGGCAGCUGGCUACGCAUAUAUUGACACUGAUGCACGAAAGCGUGGGGAUCAAACAGG
rnacentral:rRNA from 1 species